rnacentral:miRNA from 1 species
AGAUGGACAGAUAGGGUGAGGA